CCUACGAGCGGCAGCAGUGAGGAAUAUUGGUCAAUGGCCGCAGGGCUGAACCAGCCAAGUCGCGUGAGGGAUGACGGUCCUAUGGAUUGUAAACCUCUUUUUUCAUGGAGCAAAGGGCGCCACGUGUGACGCUUUGCGAGUAACUGAAGAGAAAGCAUCGGCUAACUCCGUGCCAGCAGCCGCGGUAAUACGGAGGAUGCGAGCGUUAGCCGGAUUUAUUGGGUUUAAAGGGUGCGCAGGCGGAAUGUCAAGUCAGCGGUAAAAUUUCGGGGCUCAACCCCGUCGCGCCUUUGAAACUGGCGUUCUUGAGGGAGCGAGAAGUAUGCGGAAUGCGUGGUGUAGCGGUGAAAUGCAUAGAUAUCACGCAGAACUCCGAUGGCGAAGGCAGCAUACUGGCGCUCAACUGACGCUCAUGCACGAAAGCGUGGGUAUCGAACAGGAUUAGAUACCCGAGUAGUC
rnacentral:rRNA from 1 species